rnacentral:lncRNA from 1 species
CCAGAAAAUACUGUGAAACUGUCCAGGACCAUUACUUAUUCUAACAAGACUGGCUGAAGGGUUGUCUGUUGCAAGAAGGGAACAUAAUUUUAUUUCCAGAACAUUUUUCCUCCCUAAAACAAAAUGACAUGCUUCAUAUGCAAGAUUUACAGAGCUUACAUUGGAUUUCCAGAACCAGACAGACUAGAGCUAGAGCAAGUCCAUUUGAUCAUCUAAUGUGUUUCAGGAUCGAUAUCAACAUAAAUGAAAACAGGCUGCAAUUCCCCAGCUAUAUACUACUCAGGAGCAUCUCCUAUGGAAGACCCUGUGAAAGAAAAUGUUCUCAUAAUAGGCGCUACGACUUGGACAACAAUAGUAGAGUGAUGACCUCCAAAGGAAGAGAAGCUACCAGCUAAUUUCUCAUACAAUACAUACAGUUUUCACAUAGUUGUCAGGAGCUAAUGAAGAACUUUAAACAUGGCACUGCAGCAGAUGAAGAGGAGUUUUUUGUGGAAAGUAUUAAUACCAUCUUAGUAUCUAAGCAUGAAUGAUUAGAAGGAACAUAGAGAAGAAGUAAUUGGACUGCUCCUCUAUCUCCAUUCCCCAUUCCACACAUCCAAUGCAGAAUAUGACAUUUAAAUUAUAUUUUCAGCUCUUGCUAUUGCUAAAUCAAAGCAAAGCUAAGUUCUUUGCUCUGUGAUUAAAGUAACUCUCUGAAAUUCUAAGUGGUUCCACUUCAAACUUUGAAUUUGCAAAUCUAAUGAGGAAAGAUAGUAUGGUGGUGCUUCUGCUGAUAUAUUGUUUCUAAACUGCUUGUAGCAUGAACAAAAAUAUGCCUUUUUACAUGUUUUUUUUUCCAAAAUAUUUUUUAUAGUAUUUGGCACUUCAUGAAGAACUUCAGCAGUAUCCUGAGAUUACAAAAUGUAGUUUGUUUUGGUCUUAGCCCUUGGUUGCUGUGCUUUUUCUUAACUAUUUUAAAGUAAACAAAUCUUUUUGCCCACAGAUACACUGAAUAAAAACUCAUAAUGAAAUAUUCA